CUUAUCAAAACCAAGGAAACAGCAACAUAUCGAGGAAUUCGUGAGUUCUCAGUUGUUAGACACUACCUGAUUUAUUAGUUGUAAAUUGGAACUAUUUCUAUAAAUACGGAAGACGCAUAUCAUAGAGAAGCCGACUCUCGAGUUUCUUCUCACGUUCAUGACACAGCAGCUGCGCAAGAAGGUAUUGUGUUAUUUUCAAAAGGAAUUCAUCAGGAUUUCACGGCGAUUAAGUUUCACAACCUUAAAGUUAUCAUGAGGCAUUUCAGAUAAGUACACAAAUUAUAUACAUGUUCGAAAGCAGCAGACAGAGGUAGCUGAAGAAUGAGCUUUUUUCGUGAAUACAGCCUUGCGUGGAAAUAAUUGAAUCUAUUGAAAAUGGCGACACGGAAAUCAUGGUUGCUACCGACUAUUCAACGUACAGCGUUUAUAUUGAUUGUAAUAUAUUUGAAGGGAUUCAGUGGAUCGGAGUGUAUACACCAACACCAUAUCCAUCAGCAAAAGACCUUAUUGAUAUUAGGAAUGCUUUGAUUGAUUUAAAAACCAUUUCACCUCUAAAUAAUUCUCAAUGCUAAGAUGUUAUGGGUGCUUUCGACAUCUCAACGAAAUAAUGCAACGACGCAAAUAUUACAUUAUAUGACGGUUAUUAGGACUUAUAAUUAUCUACUCAUUCUAUUAUAGAAUAAUGUAACAAAUAAAUAUUCAGACGUAGUCUAUAGUAGAAUGUUUCUUUUAGAGUAGUCACUCUGCUUUCGACAGGCCUGGGAAGCAUUUAUUUUUAUUUUUUAUAUAAUCUGAUGAGAUCGCUUAAUUGUGGAAGUGGAAAUAAGUUGAGAGCCAACAAACGAAAGUCGAGAACUCGGGAGAAAUAACAAAAUUCGUCGCAAUAGCACAGGAACGCUAAUUAAUGCUUUGGGAUUCGCUAUUUCACAAUCCGAAACAUAUUGAACAUAGAUGCUUUUGGGUCACCGAAGCCUACUUUCCAUAUUUCAAAAAAUUUGAUUCUAUUCAAUUAUCUAGGAAUUUUGGUUUACAUAAAGUCGAUCAAGAUUCCAAGUAAUGAAUUUUUAAGGGACACUGAAGGAAAAGUGAGCGAAAUGAACUAGAAAGUGAUUUACUAUAUGUAGCAAUGUUCUUGGUGAAGUAUAGGGUCCCAUAAUAAUCGGGGUAAAAUUUGAAAAAAUGAAUAAAUUUAAUAAAGUUGCUCUGGCUGCUGCUGUUGACCAUCUAGGUUAGUUAGGGUCGUCUAACCCGUGUCCCUCGGGCCACAUGUGGCCGCCGAAAGUUUCGAGUGGCCCGCGCGGUAUUAUUCGAAUCCCAAUGUCUUUCACAAAUCUGAGCUCUUAUUGGAACCGCUAAUGAAAAAAUUGUCCUUCAAACGCACGAGGAGCAUCACCUAGCUAUCGAAAGCUUCUUUUAUGUCCAUUUAUGGUCGUUAUUGCUAGUGAGACAUGUUUGAAUUUAUUUUUAUCGUCUGCCAUGUAUUUCAAUCUGUUUUCCUGUAUUUUUUCUGUGAAGCUAGAAGAGGCAGUUUUAUGA